GACGGAGGAUGCAAGCGUUAUCCGGAAUGAUUGGGCGUAAAGCGUCCGCAGGUGGCAGUUCAAGUCUGCUGUCAAAGACCGGGGCUUAACUUCGGAAAGGCAGUGGAAACUGAACAGCUAGAGUAUGGUAGGGGCAGAGGGAAUUCCUGGUGUAGCGGUGAAAUGCGUAGAGAUCGGGAAGAACAUCGGUGGCGAAGGCGCUCUGCUGGACCAUAACUGACACUCAGGGACGAAAGCUAGGGGAGCGAAUGGG
rnacentral:rRNA from 1 species